GACGAACGCNGGCGGCGUGCUUAUCACAUGCAAGUCGAACGAAGAGCGACGGAAGCUUGCUUCUAUCAAUCUUAGUGGCGAACGGGUGAGUAACGCGUAAUCAACCUGCCCUUCAGAGGGGGACAACAGUUGGAAACGACUGCUAAUACCGCAUACGAUCUAAUCUCGGCAUCGAGGAUAGAUGAAAGGUGGCCUCUACAUGUAAGCUAUCACUGAAGGAGGGGAUUGCGUCUGAUUAGCUAGUUGGAGGGGUAACGGCCCACCAAGGCGAUGAUCAGUAGCCGGUCUGAGAGGAUGAACGGCCACAUUGGGACUGAGACACGGCCCAGACUCCUACGGGAGGCAGCAGUGGGGAAUCUUCCGCAAUGGACGAAAGUCUGACGGAGCAACGCCGCGUGAGUGAUGACGGCCUUCGGGUUGUAAAGCUCUGUUAAUCGGGACGAAAGGCCUUCUUGCAGAUAGNGAGAAGGAUGAC
rnacentral:rRNA from 1 species